rnacentral:rRNA from 1 species
AUCCUUGAAAGAGUGCGUAACAGCUCACUGGUCGAGCGUCCCUGCGCCAAAAAUGUGGGGGGCUAAGCAUGGCGCCGAAGCUUCGGAUUCAGUGGAAAUAUCCAUUGACUGGUAGGGGAGCGUUCUAUACAGGACGAAGCAUGAUUGUAAAAUUAUGUGGACAAUAUAGAAGUGAGAAUGACGGCAUGAGUAGCGAAAAGUGUGCGAAAAACACACUCACCGAAAACCCAAGGAUUCCUGGGGAAGGUUCAUCCACCCAGGGUUAGGCGGGACCUAAGGCGAGGCCGAAAGGCGUAGUCGAUGGACAGCAGGUAGACAAUCCUGCCCUUUGGCAGUUCGUUUGACAGAUGGAGUGACGCAGAAAGCUAUGCACGCCGGGUGAUGGAAAUCCCGGUACAAGGUUGUAGGCUUGAGAAAGAGGCAAAUCCCUUUCUCUCCAAGGCCGAGAACUGACGUGGAAGAAUCCAAUUCGAGAAGGUGCAAAUGCUCGGCUGCCGAGAAAAACUUCUAUGGAGAACUGUCGAACCCGUACUCAAAACCGACACAGGUGGGUUGGCUUAGAAGGCUAAGGUGAACGGGAUAACCAUUGUUAAGGAACUCUGCAAGUUGACUCCGUAACUUCGGGAGAAGGAGUGGCUGGAGAUGUGAAUAUUUUACAUAGUAAGCAUCUUUGGUUCGCAGAAACCAGGCUCAGGCGACUGUUUAACUAAAACACAGGACUCUGCUGAAGGCGCAAGCCGAAGUAUAGGGUCUGACACCUGCCCGGUGCUGGAAGGUUAAAGGGAGAGGUCAGCCGCAAGGCGAAGCUUUGAACUGAAGCCCCAGUAAACGGCGGCCGUAACUAUAACGGUCCUAAGGUAGCGAAAUUCCUUGUCGGGUAAGUUCCGACCUGCACGAAAGGUGUAACGAUCUGAGCGCUGUCUCGACAGUGGGCCCGGUGAAAUUGUGGUACUGGUAAAGACGCCAGUUACCCGCAGUAGGACGGAAAGACCCCGUGGAGCUUUACUGUAACUUGAUAUUGGAUUUCGGUAUAGUAUGUAUAGGAUAGGUGGGAGGCAGUGAAAUAAGGUCGCCAGACUUUAUGGAGCCAUCGUUGGAAUACCACCCUUAUUGUGCUGGGAUUCUAACCGCAGGCACUGAAUCGUGAUGCGGGACAUUGUCAGGCGGGCAGUUUGACUGGGGCGGUCGCCUCCCAAAGAGUAACGGAGGCGCGCGAAGGUCACCUCAAGAUGAAUGGAAAACAUCUAUAGAGCGUAAGGGUAUAAGGUGGCUUAACUGUGAGAUUGACAGAUCGAUCAGAAACGAAAGUUGGUCCUAGUGAUCCGGUGGUCCUGAGUGGAAAGGCCAUCGCUCAUCGGAUAAAAGCUACCCCGGGGAUAACAGGCUGAUGCCGCCCGAGAGUUCCUAUCGACGGCGGCGUUUGGCACCUCGAUGUCGGCUCAUCGCAUCCUGGGGCUGAAGCAGGUCCCAAGGGUUGGUCUGUUCGCCCAUUAAAGCGGCACGUGAGCUGGGUUCAGAACGUCGUGAGACAGUUCGGUCCCUAUCCACUGUGGGCGCAAGGUAUUUGAGAGGAACUGUCCCUAGUACGAGAGGACCGGGAUGGACGUACCGCUAGUGAACCAGUUAUUCCGCCAGGAGUAAAAGCUGGGUAGCCAUGUACGGAUCGGAUAACCGCUGAAGGCAUCUAAGCGGGAAGCCGGCCUCAAGAUGAGAUACCUCAUUCGU